UACGUAGGGUGCAAGCGUUGUCCGGAAUUAUUGGGCGUAAAGGGCUCGUAGGCGGUCCAUCGCGUCGGGAGUGAAAAGCUGGGGCUUAACCCCAGUCCUGCUUCCGAUACGGGUGGACUAGAGGUAGGUAGGGGAGAACGGAAUUCCUGGUGUAGCGGUGAAAUGCGCAGAUAUCAGGAAGAACACCCGUGGCGAAGGCGGCUCGCUGGGACGGUACUGACGCUGAGACGCGAAAGCGUGGGGAGCGAACAGG
rnacentral:rRNA from 1 species